UACGAAGGGGGCUAGCGUUGCUCGGAAUCACUGGGCGUAAAGGGUGCGUAGGCGGGUCUUUAAGUCAGGGGUGAAAGCCCAGAGCUCAACUCUGGAACUGCCUUGAGACUGAAGAGCUUGAGUACGGGAGAGGUGAGUGGAAUUCCCAGUGUAGAGGUGAAAUUCGUAGAUAUUGGGAAGAACACCGGUGGCGAAGGCGGCUCACUGGCCCGUUACUGACGCUCAGGCGCGACAGCGUGGGGAUCGAAACAGG
rnacentral:rRNA from 1 species